rnacentral:misc_RNA from 1 species
CGCACAUUGCGCCCCUUGGUAUUCCGAGGGGCAUGCCUGUCCGAGCGUCAUUAUCACCAUCAAGCAUUGCUUGGCUUUGGGUCUCACCUGGAAGGGUGGACCUGGAAAUCAGUGGCGGUUCCUCUGGGUCUCGAGCGUUGUAAAACAUUCACGCUGUGAGUCCCAGAGUCGUGACCUGCCAACCACACCCAUAUUAUAGGUUGACCUCGGAUCAGGUAGGGAUACCCGCUGAACUUAA